CAGUAGCCGCGGGAAUACCGAGGGUGCGAGCGUUAAUCGGAUUUACUGGGCGUAAAGCGUGCGUAGGCGGCUUUUUAAGUCGGAUGUGAAAUCCCUGAGCUUAACUUAGGAAUUGCAUUCGAUACUGGGAAGCUAGAGUAUGGGAGAGGAUGGUAGAAUUCCAGGUGUAGCGGUGAAAUGCGUAGAGAUCUGGAGGAAUACCGAUGGCGAAGGCAGCCAUCUGGCCUAAUACUGACGCUGAGGUACGAAAGCGUGGGGAGCAAACAGGAUUAGAGACCCCUGUAGUCCCUGUCUCUUAUAC
rnacentral:rRNA from 1 species